UUCUCUUCAUUUAGGGUGUCAGAAAUAUUU
rnacentral:piRNA from 1 species